GGGAUAGGCUGGGCAUCAGUCAGCGGAUGGUGAGCUGACUCGAUAUUCCUCUGGAUUCUGGCCAUGCACUGGGGAGGUGACUGCUUCCGUUUUCUUCCCACACCAUGCUGAAGAGGAAGAAGUAAGUUCAAGUUCACCAUGGAACCUUAUGUCACAUCACAACUGCCUGGGGACAGAAGUGCUUCUUUCCUCCCACCCCUCAAGUUCUGCCUACAACCUCCAGUGAUGGCACACAAGAUGUUGAAUCCAUCGUUAAAGCCUGCCAUAAUUUAAGAGUUGUUCCCCCAUUGGAGUUCAGAUGAUGCCUGGAGCUGAUGAACCUCUCCCUUCCUCUUCAGGGGAUGAAGACUAAUCUAAUGGCUAAGACAUGAGCUUGCAGUUCUGGGAAGAUAUUAAGCUCCUUGUUCCUCUAUAAAUUCCCAUCUCAGAUCAAAUGGUACUAUAGAUGCUACAAAGAGAGAAGAGGGAUACUGAGAGAAAUCAGGCUAAUCCAUCAACCCUAAAAGCUUGGGA